UACGUAGGGUGCGAGCGUUGUCCGGAAUUAUUGGGCGUAAAGGGCUCGUAGGCGGUCUGUCGCGUCAGGAGUGAAAACUCGGGGCUUAACCCCGAGCCUGCUUCUGAUACGGGCAGACUAGAGGUAUGCAGGGGAGAACGGAAUUCCUGGUGUAGCGGUGAAAUGCGCAGAUAUCAGGAGGAACACCGGUGGCGAAGGCGGGUCUCUGGGCAGUAACUGACGCUGAGGAGCGAAAGCGUGGGGAGCGAACAGG
rnacentral:rRNA from 1 species